rnacentral:miRNA from 1 species
GUACAUCUAUAUGGGUCUCUCUUUCUUUCUCUCUCUCUCUCUCUCUCUCUCUCUAUAUAUAUAUAUAUAUAUAUAUAUAUAUAUAUAUAACUGACUCUGAGAGGGAGAGAGAGAGAGAGAGAGAGAGAGAGAGAUUUGAUGAGAAAA